GUUGGGUAGGGGAGCGUUCUGUAAGCCUGCGAAGGUGGCCUGUGAGGGUUGCUGGAGGUAUCAGAAGUGCGAAUGCUGACAUAAGUAACGAUAAAGCGGGUGAAAAGCCCGCUCGCCGGAAGACCAAGGGUUCCUGUCCAACGUUAAUCGGGGCAGGGUGAGUCGACCCCUAAGGCGAGGCCGAAAGGCGUAGUCGAUGGGAAACGGGUUAAUAUUCCCGUACUUGGUGUUACUGCGAAGGGGGGACGGAGAAGGCUAUGUUGGCCGGGCGACGGUUGUCCCGGUUUAAGCGUGUAGGUGUGUGUUCCAGGUAAAUCCGGUUCACUUUAACACUGAGGCGUGACGACGAGGCACUACGGUGCUGAAGCAACAAAUGCCCUGCUUCCAGGAAAAGCCUCUAAGCAUCAGGUAACAUCAAAUCGUACCCCAAACCGACACAGGUGGUCAGGUAGAGAAUACCAAGGCGCUUGAGAGAACUCGGGUGAAGGAACUAGGCAAAAUGGUGCCGUAACUUCGGGAGAAGGCACGCUGACACGUAGGUGAAGUGAUUUACUCAUGGAGCUGAAGUCAGUCGAAGAUACCAGCUGGCUGCAACUGUUUAUUAAAAACACAGCACUGUGCAAACACGAAAGUGGACGUAUACGGUGUGACGCCUGCCCGGUGCCGGAAGGUUAAUUGAUGGGGUCAGCGCAAGCGAAGCUCCUGAUCGAAGCCCCGGUAAACGGCGGCCGUAACUAUAACGGUCCUAAGGUAGCGAAAUUCCUUGUCGGGUAAGUUCCGACCUGCACGAAUGGCGUAAUGAUGGCCAGGCUGUCUCCACCCGAGACUCAGUGAAAUUGAACUCGCUGUGAAGAUGCAGUGUACCCGCGGCAAGACGGAAAGACCCCGUGAACCUUUACUAUAGCUUGACACUGAACAUUGAGCCUUGAUGUGUAGGAUAGGUGGGAGGCUUUGAAGUGUGGACGCCAGUCUGCAUGGAGCCGACCUUGAAAUACCACCCUUUAAUGUUUGAUGUUCUAACGUGGACCCGUGAUCCGGGUUGCGGACAGUGUCUGGUGGGUAGUUUGACUGGGGCGGUCUCCUCCUAAAGAGUAACGGAGGAGCACGAAGGUUGGCUAAUCCUGGUCGGACAUCAGGAGGUUAGUGCAAUGGCAUAAGCCAGCUUGACUGCGAGCGUGACGGCGCGAGCAGGUGCGAAAGCAGGUCAUAGUGAUCCGGUGGUUCUGAAUGGAAGGGCCAUCGCUCAACGGAUAAAAGGUACUCCGGGGAUAACAGGCUGAUACCGCCCAAGAGUUCAUAUCGACGGCGGUGUUUGGCACCUCGAUGUCGGCUCAUCACAUCCUGGGGCUGAAGUAGGUCCCAAGGGUAUGGCUGUUCGCCAUUUAAAGUGGUACGCGAGCUGGGUUUAGAACGUCGUGAGACAGUUCGGUCCCUAUCUGCCGUGGGCGCUGGAGAACUGAGGGGGGCUGCUCCUAGUACGAGAGGACCGGAGUGGACGCAUCACUGGUGUUCGGGUUGUCAUGCCAAUGGCACUGCCCGGUAGCUAAAUGCGGAAGAGAUAAGUGCUGAAAGCAUCUAAGCACGAAACUUGCCCCGAG
rnacentral:rRNA from 1 species